AAUAUACUUCCUCCGUCCGGAAAUACUUGUCAUCAAAAUGGAUAAAAGAGGAUGUAUCUAGACGUAUUUUAGUUUUAGAUACAUUUCUUUUUAUCCAUUUUGAUGACAAGUAUUUUCGGACGGAGGGAGUAACAC
rnacentral:pre_miRNA from 1 species